AGGACGAACGCUGGCGGCGCGCUUAACACAUGCAAGUCGAACGAACGGACGAGAAGCUUGCUUCUCUGAUGUUAGCGGAGGACGGGUGAGUAACACGUGGAUAACCUACCUAUAAGACUGGGAUAACUUCGGGAAACCGGAGCUAAUACCGGAUAAUAUUUUGAACCGCAUGGUUCAAAAGUGAAAGACGGUCUUGCUGUCACUUAUAGAUGGAUCCGCGCUGCAUUAGCUAGUUGGUAAGGUAACGGCUUACCAAGGCAACGAUGCAUAGCCGACCUGAGAGGGUGAUCGGCCACACUGGAACUGAGACACGGUCCAGACUCCUACGGGAGGCAGCAGUAGGGAAUCUUCCGCAAUGGGCGAAAGCCUGACGGAGCAACGCCGCGUGAGUGAUGAAGGUCUUCGGAUCGUAAAACUCUGUUAUUAGGGAAGAACAUAUGUGUAAGUAACUGUGCACAUCUUGACGGUACCUAAUCAGAAAGCCACGGCUAACUACGUGCCAGCAGCCGCGGUAAUACGUAGGUGGCAAGCGUUAUCCGGAAUUAUUGGGCGUAAAGCGCGCGUAGGCGGUUUUUUAAGUCUGAUGUGAAAGCCCACGGCUCAACCGUGGAGGGUCAUUGGAAACUGGAAAACUUGAGUGCAGAAGAGGAAAGUGGAAUUCCAUGUGUAGCGGUGAAAUGCGCAGAGAUAUGGAGGAACACCAGUGGCGAAGGCGACUUUCUGGUCUGUAACUGACGCUGAUGUGCGAAAGCGUGGGGAUCAAACAGGAUUAGAUACCCUGGUAGUCCACGCCGUAAACGAUGAGUGCUGAGUGUUAGGGGGUUUCCGCCCCU
rnacentral:rRNA from 1 species